rnacentral:rRNA from 1 species
CCUACGGGUGGCAGCAGUAGGGAAUCUUUCACAAUGGGCGAAAGCCUGAUGGAGCAACGCCGCGUGCAGGAUGAAGGCCUUCGGGUUGUAAACUGCUUUUAUAAGCGAGAAAUAUGAUGGUAACUUAUGAAUAAGGAUCGGCUAACUACGUGCCAGCAGCCGUGGUCAUACGUAGGAUCCGAGCAUUAUCCGGAGUGACUGGGUGUAAAGAGUUGCGUAGGUGGCAUAAUAAGUAGCUAGUGAAAUCUGGUGGCUCAACCAUUCAGACUAUUAGCUAAACUGUUAGGCUCGAGACCGUUAGGGGUAAGUGGAAUUUCUGGUGUAGGAGUGAAAUCCGUAGAUAUUGGAAGGAACACCGAUAGCGUAGGCAGGUUGCUGGGACGAUUCUGACACUAAGGCACGAAAGCGUAGGGAGCGAACGGGAUUAGAUACCCUGGUAGUC